rnacentral:tRNA from 1 species
UGCCUUUGUAGCUUAAUGGUUAAAGCAAUCGCUUGAAGCGCGGUCUAUCUGAGUUCAAGUCUCAUCGAAGGCAU